AAUGAAGUUGAAAAUUACCGGUUGGCACGGGCUUAUCUGGACCAGUUGUCUCAACCAUCGAUCAUGGAGAAUAAGGAUAACAUCAUUGUACGAAAGCAAAUAAUUGAAAAAGAUACAUUGUUGGAUGAAGGAUGAUAACAUAAGCAAGAUAAAGAGGAUGGCUGAGCUAAGUGAUUCCCUGGCUUUAGAAGAAGAUAAGACGAGGACAGUCAACGCACAAUUAAAUGCACAGCGGGAUCUGGACUCAGCAUUGAAAAUGGCACUGCUUGAAGCAAAGAAACAAGGGCGCGAAGAAUUAAAGGCUCAUCAAGAGUUAAAAGUGGAAUUCAGUCAGAAGACGGAUGAAUGGUC